GCCUACGGCCAUACCACCCUGAACAUGCCUAAUUUCAUCUGAUCUUGGAAGCUAAGCAGGGUCAGGCCUGGUUAGUACUUGGAUGGCAGACUGCCUAGGAAUAUCUCACCUGAAUUUA
ensembl:rRNA 5S_rRNA 5S ribosomal RNA